GCCCUCCUGCAAGAGCUCCACAAAAGGUGAGGACAACCUUGAAGUUGGAUAAAAUGGAUUGGAACUCUGUGAAGUGGAGAGAUGCAGAUGUGUUGGUCUUAAACACUGGGAAUUGGUGGAAUUAUGAGAAGACUAUAAGAGGGGAUUGUUACUUCCAAGAGGGUGCAGAGGUAAAGAUGGAUAUGGUCAAUCCAAGGAUUAGCAGCUUGUUGUAAGUUUGGGUUCCUCUUUUCAUGAGGCGGGCAAUGAGUUGCUAAAGGAUGAAUAAAAUCUACUACAUAAGCGGGUGGCUUGGAUGGUGAUAUAAGGUGGUCUACUUUUUAUUAUUGGGAGUGUUGAUUGUUAUUUCUUUAAAAUGUGUUCUUAGUUGGGUAUAGAUUGAAUUUUUAUUUUGUGCUUGUUUUAUGACUUUCAUGGAAAAUAUGAUUUGUA